rnacentral:misc_RNA from 1 species
UUUCCGUAGGUGAACCUGCGGAAGGAUCAUUCACAAUAAGUGAUUUAUGGCACUUUUUAAAUCCAUAACCACCUUGUGUGCAAUGUCAGUCGGUCUCUUCUAUGGGAACGACCAAACAUCAACCAACUCUUUAACUCUUUGUCUGAAAAAUAUUACAAAUAAAAUAAUUCAAAAUACAACUUUCAACAACGGAUCUCUUGGCUCUC